GAUGAAGAACGUAGCGAAAUGCGAUAAGUAGUGUGAAUUGCAGAAUUCAGUGAAUCAUCGAAUCUUUGAACGCACAUUGCGCCCCUUGGUAUUCCAUGGGGCAUGCCUGUUCGAGCGUCAUUUGUGCCUUCAAGCUCUGCUUGGUGUUGGGUGUUUGUCUCGCCUCUGCGCGUAGACUCGCCUCAAAACAAUUGGCAGCCGGCGUACUUGUUUCGGAGCGCAGCACAUUUUGCGAUCCAGAUCAACGUACAGCGGCAUCCAAGAAGCCUUAUUUAACGCUCUUGACCUCGGAUCAGGUAGGGAUACCCGCUGAACUUAAGCAUAUCAAUAAGCGGAGGA
rnacentral:misc_RNA from 1 species